UCGUUGAAACACUUAUUCUCGUCCAAUCAUCAAAGUUAAGCAAUGUUGAGCCUAGUCAGUACCUUGAUGGGUGACCGCUUGGGAAUACCAGGUGCU
rnacentral:rRNA from 1 species